ACCCCACUGCUAUCGGGAUAGGACUAAGACAUGCUAGUUGAGCGCUUCAGCUAAAAAGAGGCGCAGCGUACAGCUCAGUAACACGUGGCUAAUCUGCCCUUAGGACGAGAACAACCCCGGGAAACUGGGGCUAACUCUCGAUAGGUGAAGAACUCUGGAAUGAGUCUUCGCCCAAAAAGCUUCACGUUAUGCGCGUGAAGUUGCCUAAGGAUGAGGCCGCGACCGAUCAGGUUGUUGGUGAGGUAAUGGCUCACCAAGCCUUUUACCGGUGCGGGCCGUGAGAGCGGGAGCCCGGAGAUGGGCACUGAGACAAGGGCCCAGGCCCUACGGGGCGCAGCAGUCGCGAAAACUUUGCAAUACACGAAAGUGUGACAGGGCUAUCCCGAGUGCCAUCCGCUGAGGAAGGCUUUUACCCAGUCUAGAACGCUGGGGGAAUAAGGAGAGGGCAAGUCUGGUGUCAGCCGCCGCGGUAAUACCAGCUCUCCGAGUGGUGUGGAUGUUUAUUGGGCCUAAAGCAUCCGUAGCUGGCUAAGUUAGUCCCUUGUUAAAUCCACCGAAUUAAUCGUUGGAUUGCGGGGGAUACUGCUUGGCUAGGGGACGAGAGAGGCAGACGGUAUUCCCGGGGUAGGGGUGAAAUCCUAUAAUCCCGAGAAGACCACCAGUGGCGAAGGCUGUCUGCUAGAACGCGCCCGACGGUGAGGGAUGAAAGCUGGGGGAGCGAACCGGAUUAGAUACCCGGGUAGUCCCAGCUGUAAACGAUGCAGCUAGGUGUUUGGACGGCCACGUGCCGUUCUAGUGCCGCAGGGAAGCUGUUAAGCCUGCCGCCUGGGGAGUACGAUCGCAGAUUGAAACUUAAAGGAAUUGGCGGGGAGCACACAAGGGUGAAGCUUGCGGUUUAAUUGGA
rnacentral:rRNA from 1 species